rnacentral:rRNA from 1 species
CACGUAGGGGGCAAGCGUUGUCCGGAUUUAUUGGGCGUAAAGAGCUCGUAGGCGGCUCAGUAAGUCAGGUGUGAAACCUCCAGGCUCAACCUGGAGACGCCACCUGAUACUGCUGUGGCUAGAGUCCGGUAGGGGAGCGUGGAAUUCCUGGUGUAGCGGUGAAAUGCGCAGAUAUCAGGAGGAACACCAGCGGCGAAGGCGGCGACCUGGUCCGAUACUGACGCUGAGGCGCGAAAGCGUGGGGAGCAAACAGG